UGAGAAGAUCCCACGGACACAAGACAAAGUCUUGUGACCUCUGCUCCUUCCAAGCAUGGAUUUGUUCUUGGAAGGUGCUUUCAUACCCCUCAGGAAGCAGUGUCUUAGCCCUUAAAGAAUGAGGUGUCGACCUGUGGGGAACCAGCUCAUCAUAUGUAAAUGAGGGGCAUCAGAACUAUUUUUAAUGUGCUGAUCUUACACAUAUAAAUACCUGUUCAUAUCCAGAUGAUCUAAAAAUAAGGCUUCAAAGGAGCACAAGAAUAUCCAACACUUCGUUCUUCCUGGCCCUACUGAUAAAGUUGAAAAAUGAAAGUGCUGAUGCUGAUGGGUUUCCUUGUGCUCACAGCUCACUGUGUCCCAGUAUCAAGAUUCCCUGGCAAGAUUAUUCUCUGCUAUCCUUUCUUAAACUGGAAGCAGUGCCAGAGGCUCUGUGAAUCCUUGAAACUCUGCGGGAAACCACCAAGGAACAGAACAACUCCCACGGCCCCCUCAUUUUUACCCACCAAAAAAACUAACUUUUCUCUGACUGUGAGUCCUCCAGUUCCUCUUACACCCGACAGGCGGGGAGAUUCGAGAUAAGUACAGUUCUUCACAGCCCAGAGAAACUUCCUACCCCCCCACGGUCUAUGCUACAGCCAGAUCACACUACCAGAUUACAGUUCCUGUACCACAGUGUCUCCUUCCAGUAUAAAGCUGCAAUAAAACGCUGACAUCACACUGUUGCUUA